UGUCCCAUCUGGACCGGGUCCUUGCACUUUUGUGAUACUACUCCAAGCAGGUUGAUCAGAACCAUCCUCUGAAAGCUCUGCCCUGCUUCAGCACUACACGUUGCACUAUUCGUUCUUUUCUGCUUUUAUUUCUCUGUUAGAGCCAUUGUCCUCUUGUCGGCUCAAAGCCAAACAACUCCAGUUCGACUCCGACAUGAAAGCUCUAAUUCUUUUCGCGCUAGUCAUCGCUGUGUGUGCUGAAUACAGACCAGAGCCAGACUGGUUUAAAAACUUUUCUCAUGACGUAUGGAGUCCAUGGGCAGCAUGUUACGACCAGCAGAUAACUCGCGAGAGAGUCGUCUGCGCGAUCCCAUCCGGUUACAACUGCAUCGCUAGUCGGGAGAUAGAUAGCUGUAAUGGGGCUCCAACGAACGCACUCGGCGACUGGACUGAUUGGGGCCAUUGCAUCUCACACUUUAACGUACAGGAACGCAGCCGUCCAUGCCCAACAAAACCUUGCAAAGGCAACGACAGGGAAUUUCAGGCAUGCCCGCCACACUAGGAUACGACCUAGUGCUAAUCAUAAUGGCCAGAGCAGACGACUGGGAAAGAAUGCAAGGAAGACACCUGUAUGAAUCAUAACUUUUUAUUAUAAAAUGUUGGAAAAAAGUACAAAAUGAUGCUGCGCUGCAACAAUGUCAGAGACCCACACUGAAACAGUUUAAAUUCUCGGUAAUAUUAUACUGGCUAGGACGCCCGAAGGUAGGUAGUAGCCGUCUUGUGAUAUGCUGGAGAGUUGCACUCGACAACCCGAGUAAUACAUGUAGAAUGGCGGCCAAUACUUUGUAACUCGAGUACACACAUCUCAUAAGCACUUGGCCGUACUCGCGGUUGGUACGGUAUUCAAAAUCAUUUUUUUGUGCGAGUGUGGUGGGGCACAAGCAGAAAGUUUGCAUAUGUGGAGAACACUAAACAACAUUUCCAUUGCUGUGGUACUUUUGUGGCAUUUUGCAGAAAAUAAUGACCCAUUAAAAUGUCCUACACGAAUUUGUGAUGCAACUGAAUGGCGAUCAGUCCAUGUUAUAGAACUUGGGCUACAGUUUUAUCGAUUCGCGUCGUGUGAUACCAUUCGACAGGCCAAGUACAUACCUAGUUUAUCGAGCAAUGCGCUGCAAGCCGGAUGGCAUACUCGCGAUUUCGUGUCUGUACUCGAGUUUCGCGGACCUGGUUAUACUGUGCUAUCCUAACUGAUGAGAAGUUCUAAAUACUUUAGGAUUUUCUUAAUCUUUGUACAUAUUCGAAAUACUGUAGAAUUACCGAGAAUAAAGCACUGGCCUCGCUUGGCAUAAUUUGAAA